rnacentral:rRNA from 1 species
GACGAACGCUGGCGGCGUGCUUAACACAUGCAAGUCGAACGGAAAGGCCCUGCUUUUGUGGGGUGCUCGAGUGGCGAACGGGUGAGUAACACGUGAGUAACCUGCCCUUGACUUUGGGAUAACUUCAGGAAACUGGGGCUAAUACCGGAUAGGAGCUCCUGCUGCAUGGUGGGGGUUGGAAAGUUUCGGCGGUUGGGGUUGGACUCGUGGCUUAUCAGCUUGUUGGUGGGGUAGUGGCUUACCAAGGCUUUGACGGGUAGCCGGCCUGGGAGGGUGACCGGCCACGUUGGAACUGAGAUGCGACCCAGACUCCUACGGGAGGCAGCAGUGGGGAAUGUUGCACAAUGGGCGGAAGCCUGAUGCAGCAACGCCGCGUGCGGGAUAACGGCCUUCGGGUUGUAAACCGCUUUCGCCUGUGACGAAGCGUGAGUGACGGUAAUGGGUAAAGAAGCACCGGCUAACUACGUG